rnacentral:rRNA from 1 species
UACGGAGGGUGCAAGCAUUAAUCGGAUUUAUUGGGCGUAAAGGGCGCGUAGGCGGUAGCAUAAGUCAGAUGUGAAAUCCUGGAGCUCAACUCCAGAACAGCAUUUGAAACUAUGCUUCUAGAGGGUAGGCGGAGAAAACGGAAUUCCACAAGUAGCGGUGAAAUGCGUAGAUAUGUGGAAGAACACCGGUGGCGAAGGCGGUUUUCUAGCUUAUUCCUGACGCUGAAGCGCGAAAGCAAGGGGAUCAAAC